UACGUAGGUGGCAAGCGUUGUCCGGAUUUACUGGGCGUAAAGUGCGCGCAGGUGGUUCGUAACGUCCGAGGUGAAAUCUCCCGGCUCAACUGGGAGGGGUCUUCGGAUACGGGCGGACUUGAGGAGAGCAGAGGUGAGUGGAAUUCUGGGUGUAGUGGUGAAAUGCGUAGAUAUCCAGAGGAACACCAGUGGCGAAGGCGACUCACUGGGCUCCACCUGACACUGAGGCGCGAAAGCGUGGGGAGCGAACCGG
rnacentral:rRNA from 1 species